GUAGAUAGUCCUUGUACACAUAUCCCAUUCAUCAUUUGACUUGGGGAGAAAGGUAGGAUUCACAGGAAGAAUGGCAGUCUUUGAAGGUAGUACCUUAACUGGAUAAGACCCUACCACCGUCCCACUAAGGCCUAUGGCUGCUCUAGCACUAUGCUCAUUAGCAAACUCCACAAAAGCAAAACGCAGAACUGAAUGGGGGUCGCCACAUAUUCGGCAAUCAUUAACAUAACCACAAAACUCCCUGAAUACCUUGGCAAGCUCCUCUUCAGAGACAUCCUUAUCGAUAUCAGAGACAUAAACAGUCCUCCUUAUACUUUCCUCUUGUUGAGCUCUGACAGAUCUAUUAUUAUUCAUUCUUCUUCUCCCCUGGUUAUUAAAGUCGGGCCUUCUCCUGCGAUUGUUAUCACUGUGCAAAAGUUGAUCGGCGACCUGAAAGUUCUUGGCCAACAAUCGAUUAUUGUUUUGAUAAUAAAAAUGAAUAUCUUGGCGAUCAUGAGAGUAAGAGGAAGGAAAAAACUCCUUGGCUAAAGGGUUCAAAUUGCUGAACAUUUCAGCAAGCUUAUGAGCAUCAAAUUCUGAUUUGGGAUUCAUGUUAGGAUCAAAAUUCUUGGC
rnacentral:misc_RNA from 1 species